GGGGCGGGGGGGGAGUGCCUGACAAUAGUUUACUCCGGAAACUCCUGUUUGAAUGCUAGGCUACCUAUAUCUGUAGACCCCAGAGGGCAGCCAUUAAAUAAUUAGGCACUUAGGGAUGGAGAAUUGUCUCAAAGACCAAACAACAAGUUACUUAAGACUCUUCUGGCAGACCAGAGGACCUUGAGGAUUGAGGAGACCUCUCGUCCUAUCUUGAAUUGUUCCAAAGGACGGAAGGAGGACUGGAUCCGGGCUCUGGCUUGCCUCAUUGCCCCCAAACACAUUCCCAGAAACGCUCCCCAGGGCCGAACCAAGAACUCAAGUGUCUAACCCACAGCGUCAGCUCUCAGGUUCAAGUUCAAGUCCUCCGGCGUACAUCGGGGCUUCCUUGUCUGCUGUUAAAUUUUAUGUGGAAAUGAAGCCGAAAAUAAUGUCCUGAGAUGUGGAUGAAGAGUGCUGUAACGAAACAUUGUACCAAAACGAAGACUGUGCUGUACGCGCCCCUCAGACAACUACUCUCCUGCAGGCGAGGAUUGUCACCCGGGGGGAGUGUGGCAGGAGUGCCGUCACAGUGGCAGAAGGAGAAGGAGAGAGAAAACGAAACCUGGGAAAUUGCCCGCGCUCACUUUUUCUCCUCCCCGGACCUGAGUUCAAGAGCCUGUCUCGGAGUCGGGCAGUCUCCGGUUGGGAAGGCCCUCGAUCAUGACUUUUUCGUCCCGACCUGUGCAGAUCCCCCACCUCUACCCAUCUCCAGCUGACACGUUUGCUCUGAGAAGGGAUUGGUGAAUAUCGCCCUCUCCCGGAUCUCCGGAAAUUCUCCCCAGCGCGCUGCAUCCGCUUCUUCCCAAGCUCGGAGCGCCGCACACGCAGCGGGGCGGGACCUUCAGCUCAGGGCGACGGUGUCCUCGGUCCCCUCCCCGAGGGCCGAGGCCUCCAGAGCCCCAGAUCCGGGACCCAGGCCCUGAGCCGGAUCUGAGGAGCGCACUGGGCCCGAGCCCCUGCUGGAGCCCGGAGCUCGGCCGGGGAGAGAGCUCAGCCACACGCGCCCCCGGCUAUGGCCCGGACCCCGCUCGGCUCUGCCGCUGAGUCCGCGCGCGGGGGAAAGCCCGCAGACCUUCCAGGACUUGCGGAUUGCCAGCCCCGAAUCCCUAAAGAGCUCGGCCCCGAGAGUCUCCUUGUGGUGUUUGGUGGCCGCCGCGAGCGGGCUUGGCGUCCCCCACGGCAGAGGGGAGGUCGAGGGGGAACUGGUUCCCGGUUCACCCUUCAUCUCCUACCAGUCACCAGCCGAGGCCCUGCCCCGUGCUCGCAUGGAGGCACCGAGAUAGCCCUGGCCCAGCAAAUGGCUCCUGGGUCGUCCUGGCGGGAGCGGGCCCAGGGCGAGGCGCGCAGGUGAGGUGCCAGGCUCGGGGCGCCCAGCCAGCGGCGCUUGGGGGCACCGGCUCGCUCCACCUGGCGUCCGCGCGGCCGGAGUGCCGCUGCGGCAGGCGGGCAGCGGCGGCGCAGCGACGGGCUGUGGCGCCACCUCCCGAGAAGACCUAGCAGGAAGCGCGGCUCCGCAGGUGGCCCGCGGCGCGCGCCUUCCGGGUGGCCGGAGUGCCCCUCGGCCAGCGAUUUGCCCUCUCAACGCCCCGAAACACCUCCAGAAAUGCCUGUGGCAGCAAUUACUACGCCGAUGGUCGCUGUCCUCCCCAAGUGAUGAAAGGGAGGUCCUAGCACCCCAGGAAGAUCUUGUGCCCCUGCCUGGGGAAGGCGAAAAGGCUGCAGCGGCCCUGGGACGCGAUGGCCUUGUGUCGGCUAUCAAGGGAUCUCGGACCCCCCUCACGUACGUGAAAACCGGUCCCCAAGAGUCCAGCAAGGAGAAGUAGGAGGAGGUGACUGGAGGGGAGAGGUGUUUGUGGCCCCCAAGGUAGGCUCCAGGUUGCAGUGGAGUCAAGCCGUCGGCAAGGGAUCCAGCUCUGCUCCUCAGACUCGAGCAGAGCAGCCUGUCUGCGGCCACCUCCACUCCCUCUCCGAGGACGCACCCGGCCACUCUCUGCACCACCGCGGGCGAUAGACAGAUUGUCCCCUCCGUUCCUGCCAACCAGCCCAAUAACGGAAGCAAAAUGAAGGUGUCUUUCCAGAAAUGUUUCCUCUGAGCAGGGUGUGGACGUGGACCAGGCACAUGGAACUCAGCCCUCUGGACACACGGGAAGCUUUUAAGAAGACACAGCACCCAAGCUCUAUCUUCAAGGGUGAGGAGUAUGCCAGACAUAAGACCUGAGAGGACAGCGGUCUACACAGAGGGAACAUCCUGGAGGGAAUGGCACACAGCAGAGCUUAAAAUAAAGCAGCACAGAGACAGCUGUGGUCCAGCUGCCCGCCCUGUCGGUGGCAAUCGCCUCCCUGGUCAGGUUCAUCUCUGAACACCUGGUUGGGACAUGAGUGCAUCCUCCUAGGACCCAGAAGUCACUGAGCAGAAGUGCAGCAACGUGGCAAAACCAACAGAGCUGAAGCGGCACAGAACAUUCCUGGACAGGUCUGCGAGGGUGGGGCAGCCAGGAAGUGACAGCAUGAAGCCAAGCACACUGGGCUCCUCUCCAGAGAUAUAUGGCAAAGGUGCGAGCUUUAGAGACAGGAAUGUUGGGAUUCCUCUCCUGGUUCUUCCACUUAAUGGCUGCUUGAUUCUGAACCUUAUCAGAGUAUCAACCUUAUCAGAGUAUUAUCAAUUUACAUCUAUAAAAUGGGAAGAUCACAAAAUAUAACUCCCAGGGUUAUGAGUCUGCAUGAGCUAGCUUGGAUAAAUGUUUAGCGCUGUGCGUGGCAUACUGUAGCUUCUUUUCUAGACCUGUGGAAAGAAUUGCAUAAAGGAGGCAGUGAUUGACCCCUCAACUCAAUGGCGACCUUGCAGAGAGAGAGAGGUUUAAUCCACCUAGGGAGACUCCUCUGCAAUUAGUGGCACAACAGUAAGGUCCUUAAAGAGAAUCACUAACAUCAAGGAAAGAUCAUGAACUUUUGCUUGUCAAAAAUAGUGGAAGAAUGGGGCUGGCCCUGUGGCCGAGUGGUUAAGUUCGCACGCUCCGCUGCAGGCGGCCCAGUGUUUCG
ensembl:lncRNA